rnacentral:rRNA from 1 species
CCUACGGGAGGCAGCCGUGAGGAAUAUUGGUCAAUGGCCGGGAGGCUGAACCAGCCAAGUCGCGUGAGGGAAGACGGCCCUACGGGUUGUAAACCUCUUUUGUCAGGGAGCAAGGUGCAGGUCGGGACAUGCUGUGAGCGUACCUGAAGAAAAAGCAUCGGCUAACUCCGUGCCAGCAGCCGCGGUACUACGGAGGAUGCGAGCGUUAUCCGGAUUUUUUGGGGGUAAAGGGUGCGCGGGCGGAGGUACAAGUAAGCGGUAAAAUCGCGGGGUUCAACCCCGCUCCGCCGUUGAAACGGUGACACUUGAGUGUGCGAGGGGAUAGCGGAAUGUGAGGUGUAGGAGUGAAAUGCGUAGAUAUCACGCAGAACACCAGUGGCGAAGGCGACCUACUGGCGCAUAACUGACGCUGAGGAACGAAAGCGUGGGUAGCAAACAGGAUUAGAUACCCUAGUAGUC